rfam:Danio rerio chromosome 23, GRCz11 reference primary assembly.
UCCGGCAGCUAGCUCUCUGCAACUCUCACAUGGUCGCCCACUCAAGCUAAGCAAGGCUGCGCCCGGUCAGUACCUGGAUGGGAAACCACAUGGGAAAGCUAGGUUGCUGCCGGAA